rnacentral:rRNA from 1 species
UACGUAGGGGGCAAGCGUUGUCCGGAAUCAUUGGGUCGUAAAGCGCGUGUAGGCGGCUCGAUAAGUCUGCUGUGAAAGUCCAGGCUCAACCCUGGGAUGCCGGUGGAUACUGUCGAGCUCGAGUCCGGAAGAGGCGAGUGGAAUUCCUGGUGUAGCGGUGAAAUGCGCAGAUAUCAGGAGGAACACCAAUGGCGAAGGCAGCUCGCUGGGACGUGACUGACGCUGAGACGCGAAAGCGUGGGGAGCAAACAGG